CGUCAUUCACCUCUUUUCUCUCAUUUCACACGCAUUCACUCUCCUCUCCUCUCCUCCAUCAAUCUUCCCCAUUCAAUUGGUGAUGAAACAAGGCGAGAAAAAUGGCGAUAUGGGACGAGGAGAGAGAAAAAAUGGUGAAAUUGGGGGUUUUGAUGAUUUUUAGAUCGGAGGGUUUAUUGAUUUUGCUCUAAGGCUUCUCCAUUCUCCAACUCGCUGGAUCUAGCUUAGUCAACUCAGCUUUCCUCCUUUUUAACUUUUUCUUCAUCAAACCCUGGUUCCCACGCCAAUUUCUACUCCUCUUCGAUGAUCGGUCAUCAGGUCAACGUCAAUGAGUUCCUCGAUUUUCUCUGGGGCGAAUCUGUGUAGAGUUACAUUGAUCAUUAUGCUAGUUUUGUCUGAAAUUGCUCCUCCAUGAGAUGUUCAUAUUGCAGGCGCCUUUGUGAUUUUGACCCUAUGUCUUUCAUUAUACCUUGUCUUUGAGCACCACUCUACAUAUAAAGAAUCCAGAGGAGCAAAAAUAUCUGAUUGGAGUCGUCUUAAUGGUACACGCUAUUCUAUUGAAUCGGUAAGGUCCAACAAUGGGUGAACUUUGUGUGAUACAACUAUCACUGUCUUGAUUAAUGCUUAAUACAAAAAAAAUAAAAAAAAUAAAAAACAGUGAACAUAUGAAACCCCUUUGGCUGAUAAAAAACAGAACUAAUAAUUCGAGCUCUAACAGUACCAAUACCGAUGAGUUCACUAGUGUUUUUGCAUAGGCAGAGACUGAUAAAUUUUAGCAGUCAUUUCCCCCUUUUUUUUUCCCUUAUUGUGCUUGCUUUAUGAGCUCCAACUGGUAUGUAAUUUUUGCUAGUGAUUUAUAUUGAUCAUCUUAGUCCUUAGAUUUCUAUAUGUACAAGCUUGUUACUUUACCCCUGAAAAUAAAGAGAGAAAAAGAACAAAAAUAUAUAUGUGGCAUACUUAGGGGCUGGGGUACCGAAUGAUAUGGGGUGCUGGUUUACAGGUUUUAAGUUUGGAGGGAUUUUUGCUGAGAUUUGCUAUUGAAAUUUAUAACAUAACAAAUUUUUCAGGUUAUUAUGGUUCAAUAUGACACUAGUAAAAAAAGAAAGGUUGGUGCAUAUAAAUACUUCCUGCAGCUUCUUUUUUUUUAAAAAUUUUUUGUUUUUAACUUGUUUUUUUUUUAUAUCUCUUAUUGUAGCUCAUACAUAAACAUCAUCCAUUAUAUCGGUAUGUAUCCGAUAAUCGUUGUGCAUACAUGGAGAUUUUCUUGGCCUCCAUUUGUUUUUAUGGUGAUGAUUGUUGCAAAGGCUUCACAAGAAAGAUCGAGGCUUGUGAUGAAGAUGAAGAUUUUGUUAUGUUUGACGGAACCUUGGGAUAUCACAAUUCUCAUGAAACCGUAUAUCUAACGGGGCCUAGACGUAGUUAUCGCGGUGAUUAUUUUUAAAUUGACGUCAACCUCAAGGAUGGCGAGGGUCGUGAAAUAAGUUGUGGGGUGUGGGAUAUGAUUUCAGCAACGCAUAUGUAUUUUAUAAUAUGCGCUUGUGUUCAAUAAUCCGGGGCAAACAUGGUUCUAAGGAAAAAAAAAUUGUUUUUUUUUUUUUUUUU